GAUAAACGCUGGCGGUGUACAUAAGACAUGCAAGUCGAACGGGAGAAGACAGGAAGAUUUAUCUACUUGUUGGACACCGUGGCGGACGGGUGAGUAACACGUAAGCAACCUGCCUAUAAGAGGGGAAUAACAGUGAGAAAUUACUGAUAAUACCGCAUAAGCUGGAGGUAUCGCAUGAUACAUUCAGAAAAGAUUUAUCGCUUAUAGAUGGGCUUGCGUCUGAUUAGCUAGUUGGUGAGAUAACAGCUCACCAAGGCGACGAUCAGUAGCCGGAUUGAGAGGUUGAACGGCCACAUUGGGACUGAGACACGGCCCAGACUCCUACGGGAGGCAGCAGUCGGGAAUAUUGCACAAUGGAGGAAACUCUGAUGCAGUGACACCCGCGUAUAGGAAAGAAAGGUCUUAGGAAUG
rnacentral:rRNA from 1 species